GACACACAAAAAAGGGGAAUUUAAAAACAACAACGCUCUCAAAGCAAAUACACAUCUCAAGACCUGAUGUACAAAAAGUCACUUAAAUCUAAUCUAAUCCACAGUGACACCAAAGCGGAAGGUUUCAGUGAAACGACGAGAGGAGGCUGUUAUUGAUGAACAGAUGAAAUUAUAUUACCCACAAGGAGAGAAAAAAAACUCUGAUUGGACAUUGUUUAUGGCAGCAGACGCUCAGUCAGACUCCGCGGUCCCUCUGAGGAGGUCUCUUCCUCUUAAAGCAGAUGAAUAUCGAUGAUCCCUCAGUGGCUGCAGGAAUAUUUCACUCAUCUGGUGACACACCGCUGUGACCUUUGACCUCUGACCCAGGAAACUGCAGGACGUACCUGAGAGCAGCGGCGUCUCCAAACAGAGACAUCACUGAUGAAUAAAUCAGUAAAUCAAACUGAACGACUCGGAGCAUCCGGCCACCGCC